GAUGAACGCUAGCGGCAGGCUUAAUACAUGCAAGUCGAGGGGCAGCAGGACUGUAGCAAUACAGUUGCUGGCGACCGGCAAACGGGUGCGGAACACGUACGCAACCUUCCUUUAAGUGGGGAAUAGCCCAGGGGAACUUGGAUUAAUACCUCGUAACAUUAUGAGAUGGCAUCAUUUUAUAAUUAUAGCUCCGGCGCUUAAAGAUGGGCGUGCGACUGAUUAGGUAGUUGGCGGGGUAACGGCCCACCAAGCCUUCGAUCAGUAACUGGUGUGAGAGCACGACCAGUCACACGGGCACUGGGACACGGGCCCGACUCCUACGGGAGGCAGCAGUAAGGAAUAUUGGUCAAUGGACGCAAGUCUGAACCAGCCAUGCCGCGUGGAGGAUGAAGGUCCUCUGGAUUGUAAACUUCUUUUAUCUGGGAAGAAAAUCGGGUAUUCUUAUCCGCUUGACAGUACCAGAGGAAUAAGCACCGGCUAACUCCGUGCCAGCCGCCGCUGUAAAAC
rnacentral:rRNA from 1 species